rnacentral:rRNA from 1 species
UACGUAGGGGGCAAGCGUUGUCCGGAUUUAUUGGGCGUAAAGAGCGUGUAGGCGGCUAGGUAGGUCCGUUGUGAAAACUCGAGGCUCAACCUCGAGACGCCGAUGGAAACCAUCUAGCUAGAGUCCGGAAGAGGAGAGUGGAAUUCCUGGUGUAGCGGUGAAAUGCGCAGAUAUCAGGAAGAACACCAAUGGCGAAAGCAGCUUUCUGGGACGGUACUGACGCUGAGACGCGAAAGCGUGGGGAGCGAACAGG